GACGAACGCUGGCGGCGUGCUUAACACAUGCAAGUCGAACGGAAAGGCCUCUUUCGGGGGGUACUCGAGUGGCGAACGGGUGAGUAACACGUGAGUAACCUGCCCUUGACUUUGGGAUAACUUCAGGAAACUGGGGCUAAUACCGGAUAGGAGCUCCUGCUGCAUGGUGGGGGUUGGAAAGUUUCGGCGGUUGGGGAUGGACUCGCGGCUUAUCAGCUUGUUGGUGGGGUAGUGGCUUACCAAGGCUUUGACGGGUAGCCGGCCUGAGAGGGUGACCGGCCACAUUGGGACUGAGGUAAGGCCCAGACUCCUACGGGAGGCAGCAGUGGGGAAUAUUGCACAAUGGGUGGAGGCCUGAUGCAGCAACGCCGUGUGCGGGAUGACGGCCUUCGGGUUGUAAACCGCUUUCGCUCAUGACGAAGCUUUGUGUGACGGUAGUGGGUAAAGAAGCACCGGCUAACUACGUG
rnacentral:rRNA from 1 species